rnacentral:rRNA from 1 species
UGCCUACGGGGGGCUGCAGUGGGGAAUAUUGGACAAUGGGCGAAAGCCUGAUCCAGCCAUGCCGCGUGUGUGAAGAAGGCCUUUUGGUUGUAAAGCACUUUAAGCGAGGAGGAGGCUACCGAGAUUAAUACUCUUGGAUAGUGGACGUUACUCGCAGAAUAAGCACCGGCUAACUCUGUGCCAGCAGCCGCGGUAAUACAGAGGGUGCGAGCGUUAAUCGUAUUUACUGGGCGUAAAGCGUGCAUAGGCGGCUUCUUAAGUCGGAUGUGAAAUCCCUGAGCUUAACUUAGGAAUUGCAUUCGAUACUGGGAAGCUAGAGUAUGGGAGAGGAUGGUAGAAUUCCAGGUGUAGCGGUGAAAUGCGUAGAGAUCUGGAGGAAUACCGAUGGCGAAGGCAGCCAUCUGGCCUAAUACUGACGCUGAGGUACGAAAGCAUGGGGAGCAAACAGGAUUAGAUACCCCAGUAGUCAAU